UACGAAGGGUGCAAGCGUUACUCGGAAUUACUGGGCGUAAAGGGUGCGUAGGCGGCGCGGUAAGUCGGGUGUGAAAUCUCGGGGCUUAACUCCGAAACUGCAUUCGAUACUGCCGUGCUUGAGGACUGGAGAGGAGACUGGAAUUUACGGUGUAGCGGUGAAAUGCGUAGAUAUCGUAAGGAAGACCAGUGGCGAAGGCGGGUCUCUGGACAGUUCCUGACGCUGAGGCACGAAGGCCAGGGGAGCAAACGGG
rnacentral:rRNA from 1 species